rnacentral:miRNA from 1 species
AACCACUAGCUGUAUUGCCGAUA